GAUGAACGCUGGCGGCGUGCCUAAUACAUGCAAGUCGAGCGAACAGAUAAGGAGCUUGCUCCUUUGACGUUAGCGGCGGACGGGUGAGUAACACGUGGAUAACCUACCUAUAAGACUGGGAUAACUUCGGGAAACCGGAGCUAAUACCGGAUAACAUAUUGAACCGCAUGGUUCAAUAGUGAAAGGCGGCUUUGCUGUCACUUAUAGAUGGAUCCGCGCCGUAUUAGCUAGUUGGUAAGGUAACGGCUUACCAAGGCAACGAUACGUAGCCGACCUGAGAGGGUGAUCGGCCACACUGGAACUGAGACACGGUCCAGACUCCUACGGGAGGCAGCAGUAGGGAAUCUUCCGCAAUGGGCGAAAGCCUGACGGGGCAACGCCGCGUGAGUGAUGAAGGUCUUCGGAUCGCAAAACUCUGUUAUCAGGGAAGAACAAAUGUGUAAGUAACUGUGCACAUCUUGACGGUACCUGAUCAGAAAGCCACGGCUAACUACGUG
rnacentral:rRNA from 1 species